rnacentral:rRNA from 1 species
UACAGAGGGUGCAAGCGUUGUUCGGAAUUAUUGGGCGUAAAGGGUGUGUAGGCGGUUGUUUAAGUUUGGUGUGAAAUCUCCCGGCUCAACUGGGAGGGUGCGCCGAAUACUGAAUGACUUCGAGUGCGGGAGAGGAGAGUGGAAUUCCUGGUGUAGCGGUGAAAUGCGUAGAUAUCAGGAGGAACACCGGUGGUGUAGACGGCUCUCUGGACCGUAACUGACGCUGAGACACGAAAAGCGUGGGGGAGCAAACAGG